UAGCCACCAACGGUUUAAUUUCAAACAGAGAUUACUCGCUAAGCUUCCAGCACACACAAGGUGACUACGCUUCAAGUCAGACGUAGAAAAACUGAGCCGGGAUAAUUAUAUUCUCACAAAAUGGCAAGCAGAGGUUUUCUUGCAUUCAUCGUCUUGAUUAUCAUUUUCCACGCAUGUGCAGCAAAAUCGUGGAGUAAGACUUUAAGAAGGGACUUCUUGCGCUACGAAAACGAGGCAGUGAAAAGAGGAACUAGUCAUUAUGAUUCUUGCCAAUAUUUGUAUAUUGAUUGUAGCGAUAAUCCUAACCUGUGUAGGAACGACGGUUGCAAGCCAGGCAUGAGACUGGAAUGUCUGAAAACUGGGACUGCGGGCAAAUCUAAAUGCAGUGCGUCAUAUCAUCAUGUGGACGGGUGGUAUAAGCGUAGAUAUCCCGAACAUUGAUUAUCAAAGCAUGCUAUGCGACUGUGGACGAACUGUUGGAAAUACCCAUGAAAUAGUUAAUAUUAGAUUAGAACACUAUAUUCAUAUUCGCCUGAAUGAAAAAGAUGGCGGCAUUCAAUUUUGAAAAGUAAUUUUUUGCGAACUUGUAUUAAGUAAUAUUGUAAUUUUGCAUGGAAAAUUAACUACAAUCCUACUAUAUAUGUAUUCACAAUUUUAUAAUGACGUAAUAAUUUAGCUGUAUAUAGCUAUUGUAAUGUGUUCAAUAAACCAUCCAUAAUCAUAAUAA